rnacentral:rRNA from 1 species
UACGUAGGGUGCGAGCGUUAAUCGGAAUUACUGGGCGUAAAGCGUGCGUAGGCGGCUCCUCAAGUCCGUUGUGAAAGCCCCGGGCUCAACCUGGGAAUGGCAGUGGAAACGGGGGGACUGGAAUCUGGCAGAGGGGGGUGGAAUGCCGCGUGUAGCAGUGAAAUGCGUAGAGAUGCGGCGGAACACCGAUGGCGAAGGCAGCCCCCUGGGCUGAGAUUGACGCUCAGGCACGAAAGCGUGGGGAGCAAACAGG